UUGGUGCAUGCUUAUUUUCUAAUGCUUCUUUGUCCAUUUAGGAAAAAUCAAAUCUGUGUUGUUGCAAAAUGCUAGUAAAAUGAAUGAGCUGGAAAAAAGGAAAGAAUUGUUAUUGAGUUGGUAGUGCCGGCAAUGAAGAAUAAAUAUUACUAUUAAAAUUUCUAGCAACAUGUUUUGUAUUAUGAGGAAGAUGCUGUAGGAGUCCUUUUGCACAAAAUAAGGUAUUGAUAGAUAGGAGGAGAUAGGAAUGAUUUGUGUCCAGUGGUUCUGACCUGCUGAACUUAUCUGAACAGGGACUUCAGAACCAAUAGCCAGAGAGGGAAGACAAGGACAGUCCUCUGCUUCUUCCCCAUCUUUUCCACUGAUAUUUCUAAUCUUAUGCUAGACAGAGGAUGGGAAGGUCUUCCUACAGGGUGUAGUCCUGCAAAUACGAAACUCUUGCACUUGGUGCAUCAGCUGUACUCCCACUGUUUGUCAUUCACCAAAAGGCAGGAGAGUCUCAGCAGAGUGAAAAUAACCAACGAUGGCAAUUGCUGCAGGAGUGCCUGGAAAAAAGCUUCCUUUUAAAUCUAAAGAUAAAUCUCAAGAAAGGGAAGGGGAGGGAAAGGAAAGCUGAUCACAAGAUAUACAGCAGAUAGGUACCUGAGAAAAGAAAAGAAACUUCCCUGCACAAGGGGAGAGUCAAUGGCAGGAGAUAGCUGAGCUGUAGAAGACCUUCCAGCUUCUUUUAUCUUAUUUCUGCAUUCUGUGCUCUCCCUUAAUUCUCCCUCUUGCUGAUUUCAGAGCUCACCUUGGACAGCUGAAACAUGCUGCCCACCACAGAAAGGGCCAUCAUAAUUUUUUGAUUGAUUUGCUCACAGCACAAAAUUGCAGCUUGGCCGUGGCAGGAGUGACCUGGUCUGCUUGGAAAAUGUUAAUUGAAAAUGAGAGGUUUAAAGCAGCACAGAAUAAUAUUUGUAAUAUUGAAUUGUUCUUUUAAAAACCAAACAACCCAAAAGGAGCCAUUGUGCCAAGCACAGCUGUAUAGUGCCAUUAUGCACUGUUGGGACUACUUAAUGAGAUGAAAAGAGAAAUGAAAUGGUCACAAUUUCAAGAAAAAAAGCCCCCUGAGGCAAAACUGAACAGCAUGACUGAGUCUGUGGAUUGCAAAGCACUUGCAAUGUCUGCUGUCUUCAGCGUAAUCUCUGAUGAUAAGGAAGUUAUCUGCUUGUGACACAUAGCUGUUGCCUGGAUUACAUUUUCAGGCCCAUGUAAUAAUUUCUGCCCUUCCAACAGUCCUUUUUCCUGCUAAUUCUGCUGUUCAUGUGAUGCAGUGGCACUUCUGAAAUUGCCAACCAUAAUAUGGAGCGUGGGAGAGUACACACCAGUUUAAUAGGCUUGAGUGGCUAGAAUGGUGCCAUUUCUAAUUGUGCAGACAAAGCUGGUUCCACUGGGUAUAUGAAUGACCUGCAUCUCUAAAAUCAAAUGCACAAGUUCAGUAAAGGAAAAGUUUCUUCUGGCUAUAAAAUGUGAGGCUAAGUCUUCGUGUGUAACUAGUAACAGUGUAUAUUCAAUGCCGUCCUUUCCUUCUGCUCUCAUCUAUUUCUAUUCUUAGUUUUUGAAAUAGCUCAACAGACUUUUGUUUUGCUUAUCUGUUAAUGGUACCAGGCUUUCUGAUAACUCUUUGGCCUCAAAUCUCUGUAUAUUUUUGGGGAAAAAAAGGAGAAGAUUGAAGAGAAAUAGCAUGAGCCAUUAAACAGUGUCUUAAACAGCUGUUAAGAUUUUUUAGAACCAAUCAGCUCAACUUUAAGACUAGACAAAGAGCAGAUUGUUCCAUCUAAUGAUUGCUGAUGUAUGACAAAAUUUUGCAUGUAAGAUUUCUCCAAGGGAAAAGUGCAAAAGAGCUUGAACUUCGACAUGUGUAAUUUUGCAACAUUAAUGUUGCUUCAACAGUUAUUAAACCAGCACCUCUUAAACCAGAAUUUUGACGCUAGAUGUACUUUUCAACAGGCAUAUCAAGCUGUUUCAUUAGCAUGAUAUCAAAGCAAUUAUGCAAAAAAGAUUUUUUAAUGGGAGCUCUUAUUGCAUUCCUGUUUAUGCAUGUACCAAUUAAUAGAAAUAAAAGAAUAGUUUACAAAUGUAUUCAAGUAUUAGCAUUUUAAUGUUUUAUGUUCCCAUGUGUUAUCUAUUUAUGUUUAUUUUUGCCAUUCUGUACAGUGAAUAUGAGCAUAAUCAAACUCACAGAACAUUGUGAAGUGUUAAGUUGUGGGUAAUUUCAGGAAAUAAAAAUACUCUCCCUGGGCUUUCAAAACAAUUUUAGUAGUGCUUUAAUGGACUUGGUGUAGUGAAAUAGAUAGUAGAAUGGAUUGGAUACAGAUAAAAUUGCUGAUUCUGCAAGAAGAGAAUAGAAUUGAAACGUUUGGCUCUUGUUAGAAAAUUCUUUGCAGUGUUUUAGUCCUUUAUAUUCAUUGAUUUUUCCUGUUUGAAUAUAGCCCAGGAAUGCAUGUAGAUCUGUCCCAGUUUUGGGAAACAAACAGAUCUUUAUAUAGCAUAUAGAUUUUUGCCAUCUAAACAUUCAGAAGACUGGAUAUAAAUCAUGUCUUUUGACUUCUGAAAAAUAACAUCAGAAAGUAGGCAAUUCUAUUAUAGUCAAUGGAUAGGUGAUGGCGUAUCUACAGGAUGAUUCUGUUUUACCUCUACAGGUUUCUAUUUGAGAAUGAGAUGACUUGUUCCGUAGAAAUGCCCAUGACUAUAAAAGUCUUUAGUUCUGAAAUGGUAAACAUUCAAGUUUGAAGCUCAAAUGAAUGUAAAAAUAGCAAUAAUGGCACUGCCAUAUGCUUUGACAGAAUAUUCACUCAGUAUAUGUGAUUACGGGCUUCUUGAAUGCCUGUCAGUCUCUAAGUUCUGAGUAGAAAUACAUGUGAGUGUGUUCUACAGUGUUUCAAAAGAAGUGAAAAGAUGAUAAAAAAUUCUCUAAUCUGAAUUAAAAUUCUUGCCCCUCUGCCAUCAGGGACUUUCAUUAGAUAUAAAAAAAAGGGAAAAUAAAAAAGACAAAUCAAUAA